UUUUUAGGGUAUAGAUCCUUUACCUCUUUGAUUAGGUUUAUUCCUAGGUAUCUUAUGCUUUUGGGUGCAAUUGCAAAUGGGAUUGACUCCUUAAUUUCUCUUUCUUCAGUCUCAUUGUUAGUGUAUAAAAUUGCCACUGACUUCUGGGCAUUGAUUUUGUAUCCUGCCACACUGCCGAAUUGCUGUAUGAGUUCUAGCAAUCUUGUGGUGGAGGCUUUUGGGUUUUCUAUGUAGAGUAUCAUGUCAUCGGCGAAGAGGGAGAGUUUGACUUCUUUGCCAAUUUGAAUGCCUUUUAUUUCUUUUUGUUGUCUGAUUAUUGAGGCUAGGACUUCCAGUACUAUGUUGAAUAGCAGUGGUGAGAGUGGACAUCCCUGUCUUGUUCCGGAUCUUAGGGGAAAGGUUCCCAGUGCUUCCCCAUUGAGAAUGGUAUUUGCUGUGGGCUUUUCGUAGAUGGCUUUUAAGAUGUCGAGGAAGGUUCCCUCUAUCCCUACACUCUGAAGAGUGUUGAUCAGGAAUGGAUGCUGUAUUUUGUCAAAUGCUUUCUCUGCAUCUAAUGAGAGGAUCAUAUGGUUCUUGGUUUUUCUCUUGCUGAUAUGAUGAAUCACAUUGAUUGUUUUACAAGUGUUGAACCAUCCUUGUGUCCCGGGGAUAAAUCCUACUUGGUCAUGGUGAAUAAUUUCUUAAUGUAUUGUUGGAUCCUAUUGGCUAGUAUCUUGUUGAGAUUUUUUGCAUCCAUGUUCAUCAGGGAUAUUGGUCUGGAAUUCUCCUUUUUGGUGGGGUCUUUGUCUGGUUUUGGAAUUAAGGUGAUGCUGGCCUCAUAGAAUGAAUUUGGAAGUACUCCAUCUCUUUCUAUCUUUCCGAACAGCUUUAGUAGAAUAGGUAUGGUUUCUUCUUUAAACGUUUGAUAGAAUUCCCCUGGGAAGCCAUCUGGCCCUGGACUUUUGUGUCUUGGGAGGUUUUUGAUGACUGCUUCAAUUUCCUCCCUGGUUAUUGGCCUGUUCAGGUUUUCUAUUUCUUCCUGUUCCAGUUUUGGUAGUUUGUGGUUUUCCCGGAAUGCGUCCAUUUCUUCUAGAUUGCCUAAUUUAUUGGCGUAUAGCUGUUCAUAAUAUGUUUUUAAAAUCGUUUGUAUUUCCUUGGUGUUGGUAGUGAUCUCUCCUUUCUCAUUCAUGAUUUUAUUAAUUUGAGUCUUCUCUCUCUUCUUUUUAAUAAGGCUGGCUAAUGGUUUAUCUAUCUUAUUAAUUCUUUCAAAGAACCAACUCCUGGUUUUGUAUCUCUUCCACAGUUAUUCAGGUCUCGAUUUCGUCGAGUUCUGCUAGAAUCUUUACUAACUCUCUUCUUCUGCUGGAUGUAGGAUCUAUUUGCUGUUUUUUCUCUAGCUCCUUUAGGUGUAAGGUUAGCUUUUGUAUUUGAGUUCUUUCCAUUUAUUGGAUGGAUGCUUGUAUUGCGAUGUAUUUCCCCUUCAGGACUGCUUUUGCUGCAUCCCAAAGAUUUUGAACGGUUGUAUCUUCAUUCUCAUUAGUUUCCAUGAAUCUUUUUAAUUCUUCCUUAAUUUCCUGGUUGACUCUUUCAUCUUUUAGCAGGAUGGUCCUUAACCUCCACGUGUUUGAGGUCCUUCCAAACUUCUUGUUGUGAUUUAGUUCUAAUUUCAAGGCAUUAUGGUCUGAGAAUAUGCAGGGGACGAUCCCAAUCUUUUGGUAUCUGUUCAGACCCGAUUUGUGACCCAAUAUGUGGUCUAUUCUAGAGAAAGUUCCAUGUGCACUUGAGAAGAAUGUGUAUUCAGUUGAGUUUGGAUGUAAAGUUCUGUAGAUAUCUGUGAAAUCCAUCUGGUCCAGUGUAUUAUUUAAAGCUCUCGUUUCUUUGGAGAUGUUGUGCUUUGAAGACCUAUCUAGUAUAGAAAGCGCUAGAUUGAAGUCACCAAGUAUAAGUGUAUUAUUAUCUAUGUAUGUCUUAACUUUGCUUGUGAAUUGAUUGAUAUAUUUGGCAGCUCCCACAUUCGGGGCAUAUAUAUUGAGGAUUGUUAAGUCCUCUUGUUGGAUAGAUCCUUUAAGUAUGAUAUAGUGUCCCUCUUCGUCACUCACUACAGUCUUCGGGGUAAAUUUUAGUUUAUCUGAUAUAAGGAUGGCUACCCCUGCUUUCUUUUGAGGACCAUUUGAAUGGUAAAUGGUUCUCCAACCUUUUAUUUUCAGGCUGUAGGUGUCCUUCUGUCUAAAAUGAGUCUCUUGUAGACAGGAAAUAGAUGGGUCCUGCUUUUUUAUCCAGUCUGAAACCCUGCACCUUUGAUGGGGUCAUUAAGCCUGUUCACGUUCAGAGUUACUGUUGAAAGGUAUGAGUUUAGGGUCAUCAUGAUAUCUAUUCAGUCCUUGUUUUUGUGGAUUGUUCCACUGGACUUCUUCUUAAAGGGGAAUUUUAAGAGUCCCCCUUAAAAUUUCUUGCAGAGCUGGUUUGGAGGUCACAUAUUUUUUCAGUUCCUGCCUGUCUUGGAAGCUCUUUAUCUCUCCUUCCAUUCUGAAUGAGAGCCUUGCUGGAUAAAGUAUUCUUGGUUGCAUGUUCUUCUCGUUGAGGACCCUGAAUAUAUCCUGCCAGCCCCUUCUGGCCUGCCAGGUCUCUGUGGAGAGGUCUGCUGUUACCCUAAUACUCCUCCCCAUAAAAGUCAGGGAUUUCUUGUCUCUUGCUGCUUUAAGGAUCUUCUCUUUAUCUUUGGAAUUUGCAAGCUUCACUAUUAAGUGUCGAGGUGUUGAACGGUUUUUAUUGAUUUGGGGGGGGGGGGUCUCUCUAUUUCCUGGAUCUGAAUGCCUGUUUCCCUUCCCAGAUUAGGAAAGUUUUCAGCUAGGAUUUGUUCAAAUACAUAUUCUGGCCCUCUGUCCCUUUCAGCGCCCUCGGGAACCCCAAAUAAACGUAGGUUUUUCUUCCUCAGGCUGUCGUUUAUUUCCCUUAAUCUAUCUUCAUAGUCUUUUGUCUCUUUUUUCCUCAGUUUCCCUCUUUGCCAUCAACUUGUCUUCUAUGUCACUCACUCCUCGUGUUCUUCCACCUCGUUAACCCUCCUCGUUAGGACUUCUAGUUUGGAUUGCAUCUCUUUCAAUUGAUUUUUAAUUUCUGCCUGAUUAGAUCUAAAUUCUGCAGUCAUGAAGUCUCUUGAGUCCUUUAUGCUUUUUUCUAGAGCCACCAGUAGUUUUAUAAUAGUGCUUCUGAAUUGGCUUUCUGACAUUGAAUUGUAAUCCAGAUUUUGUAACUCUGUGGGAGAGAAGACUGUUUCUGAUUCUUUCUUUUGAGGUGAGGUUUUCCUUCUAGUCAUUUUGCUCAGUGCAGAGUGGCCAAAAACAAGUUGUAUUGGGAAAAGGAGAAAAAGAGAGAGAAAGAAGGAGAGAAAAGAGAAAAAGAAAAUAGGAAGAAAAAAAGAAAAUAAGAGAAGAAAAAGAGAAAGAGAAAGAAAAAGAAAGAAAUGGAAAAAGGGUGGGGGAAGCAAAAACAAAAAAAAAAAAAAAAAAAAAAAAAA
rnacentral:lncRNA from 1 species